rnacentral:lncRNA from 1 species
CACGGGAGCGGCCGGGCGUGCUCCACUAGGCGAAGCGAGAUUACUUGAGCCGAAAAGCGGUUGUUAGACUUCGGGAGAGCAGGUACGGCCGUCUCGUCCUCCUCCCCCUGGCCAGCCUGGCCUCGCCCGAGGCGACACCGCAGCCUCCAGGCAGCUCGCUGAUGGGGUAAGGAAAGAAAGGGAGGCACUGAUAAAGCACGCUUUUCACUUUUUUUGCCUUUUUGUCCCUUUGGAGAACUCGAGUCCGGCCCAUAUGCCGCUAGUUUUAGUUUCCCUUACCAAUACACUGAUGGCUUGGGUGAGCAAACUGAUAAACUCAAAAGCAGAUGUCUUACCAUUUACCUCUGAGCUGGAUCUGAAAUUGCAGAACUAA